ACGCUGGCGGCAGGCCUAACACAUGCAAGUCGAGCGGUAGAGAGAAGCUUGCUUCUCUUGAGAGCGGCGGACGGGUGAGUAAUGCCUAGGAAUCUGCCUGGUAGUGGGGGAUAACGUCCGGAAACGGACGCUAAUACCGCAUACGUCCUACGGGAGAAAGCAGGGGGCCUUCGGGCCUUGCGCUAUCAGAUGAGCCUAGGUCGGAUUAGCUAGUUGGUGGGGUAAUGGCUCACCAAGGCGACGAUCCGUAACUGGUCUGAGAGGAUGAUCAGUCACACUGGAACUGAGACACGGUCCAGACUCCUACGGGAGGCAGCAGUGGGGAAUAUUGGACAAUGGGCGAAAGCCUGAUCCAGCCAUGCCGCGUGUGUGAAGAAGGUCUUCGGAUUGUAAAGCACUUUAAGUUGGGAGGAAGGGCAGUAAAUUAAUACUUUGCUGUUUUGACGUUACCGACAGAAUAAGCACCGGCUAACUCUGUGCCAGCAGCCGCGGUAAUACAGAGGGUGCAAGCGUUAAUCGGAAUUACUGGGCGUAAAGCGCGCGUAGGUGGUUCGUUAAGUUGGAUGUGAAAUCCCCGGGCUCAACCUGGGAACUGCAUUCAAAACUGACGAGCUAGAGCAUGGUAGAGGGUGGGUGGAAUUUCCUGUGUAGCGGUGAAAUGCGUAGA
rnacentral:rRNA from 1 species